rnacentral:rRNA from 1 species
GACGAACGCUGGCGGCGUGCUUAACACAUGCAAGUCGAACGGAGUGGCGAACGGGUGAGUGACACGCGGGUGACCUGUACUGCACUUCGGGAUAAGACUGGGAAACUCGGUCUAAUACCGGACAGUGUGGGAUGGGCCCGCGGCCUAUCAGCUUGUUGGUGGGGUAAUGGCCUACCAAGGCGGCGACGGGUAGCCGGCAUGAGAGGGUGGACGGCGACAGUGGGACUGAGGCACGGCCCAGACUGCUACGGGAGGCAGCAGUGGGGAAUAUUGCGCAAGAGGCGGAAGCCUGAUGCAGGGGCGCAGCGUGGGUGAUGACGGCCUGCGGGUUGAAAACUCCUUUCACCAUCGACGCGGUAGAUGGAGAGAAAGCACCGGCUAACUACGUGCCAGCAGCCGCGGUAAUAC